rnacentral:lncRNA from 1 species
UAAUAUACUACAAUGUUCCAUGUUUGAUCAGUAAAAUCUGAAUGUUUAUUAUUUACUAUGUCUACUUAUCUAUUGCCAUGCACCUAUUUGAUGAUAACAAAAAGGGGGAGAAGUAAGGAAAGAAAUAAGUUGAUAAACAAGAUUGAAAAUGAUAAUAGGAAAGAUUAUACACUUAAGGGGGAGUAAUAUGUAACAAUGAAAAGGUUAAAGUCUCAAAUUGAAAUCAAAUUUCAGAAUUUGGCACGUACUUCUCAUACCUCGAUACAUAAUCUGAAACU